rnacentral:rRNA from 1 species
UGGGGAAUUUUGGACAAUGGGCGAAAGCCUGAUCCAGCAAUGCCGCGUGUGUGAAGAAGGCCUUCGGGUUGUAAAGCACUUUUGUCCGGAAAGAAAUCCUUGGCUCUAAUACAGUCGGGGGAUGACGGUACCGGAAGAAUAAGCACCGGCUAACUACGUGCCAGCAGCCGCGGUAAUACGUAGGGUGCAAGCGUUAAUCGGAAUUACUGGGCGUAAAGCGUGCGCAGGCGGUUUGCUAAGACCGAUGUGAAAUCCCCGGGCUCAACCUGGGAACUGCAUUGGUGACUGGCAGGCUAGAGUAUGGCAGAGGGGGGUAGAAUUCCACGUGUAGCAGUGAAAUGCGUAGAGAUGUGGAGGAAUACCGAUGGCGAAGGCAGCCCCCUGGGCCAAUACUGACGCUCAUGCACGAAAGCGUGGGGAGCAAACAGGAUUAGAUACCCUGGU